AAAUUGAAGAGUUUGAUCAUGGCUCAGAUUGAACGCUGGCGGCAGGCCUAACACAUGCAAGUCGAACGGUAACAGGAAGCAGCUUGCUGCUUUGCUGACGAGUGGCGGACGGGUGAGUAAUGUCUGGGAAACUGCCUGAUGGAGGGGGAUAACUACUGGAAACGGUAGCUAAUACCGCAUAACGUCGCAAGACCAAAGAGUGGGACCUUCGGGCCCCUUGCCAUCGGAUGUGCCCAGAUGGGAUUAGCUUGUUGGUUGGGUAACGGCUCACC
rnacentral:rRNA from 1 species